rnacentral:rRNA from 1 species
UCAGGCAUCUGAUGGUGGUGGAAAGUUCCGGCGGUGAAGGAUGAGCUCGCGGCCUAUCAGCCUGUUGGUGAGGUAAUGGCUCACCAAGGCUUCGACGGGUAGCCGGCCUGAGAGGGUGACCGGCCACACUGGGACUGAGACACGGCCCAGACUCCUACGGGAGGCAGCAGUGGGGAAUAUUGGACAAUGGGCGAAAGCCUGAUCCAGCAACGCCGCGUGAGGGAUGACGGCCUUCGGGUUGUAAACCUCUUUCAGCAGGGACGAAGCGCAAGUGACGGUACCUGCAGAAGAAGCACCGGCCAACUACGUGCCAGCAGCCGCGGUAAUACGUAGGGUGCGAGCGUUGUCCGGAAUUAUUGGGCGUAAAGGGCUCGUAGGCGGUCUGUUGCGUCGGGAGUGAAAACUCAGGGCUUAACCCUGAGCCUGCUUCCGAUACGGGCAGACUAGAGGUAUGCAGGGGAGAACGGAAUUCCUGGUGUAGCGGUGAAAUGCGCAGAUAUCAGGAGGAACACCGGUGGCGAAGGCGGUUCUCUGGGCAUUACCUGACGCUGAGGAGCGAAAGUGUGGGGAGCGAACAGGAUUAGAUACCCUGGUAGUCCACACCGUA